CGCGGCUACCAUGCGAGUCGAGCGGAUGAGAGGAGCUUGCUCCUUGAUUUAGCGGCGGACGGGUGAGUAAAGCCUAGGAAUCUGCCUAGUGGUGGGGGAUAACGUUCCGAAAGGAACGCUAAUACCGCAUACGUCCUACGGGAGAAAGCGGGGGAUCUUCGGACCUCGCGCCAUUAGAUGAGCCUAGGUCGGAUUAGCUAGUUGGUGAGGUAAUGGCUCACCAAGGCGACUAUCCAUAACUGGUCUGAGAGGAUGAUCAGUCACACUGGAACUGAGACACGGUCCAGACUCCUACGGGAGGCAGCAGUGGGGAAUAUUGGACAAUGGGCGAAAGCCUGAUCCAGCCAUGCCGCGUGUGUGAAGAAGGUCUUCGGAUUGUAAAGCACUUUAAGUUGGGAGGAAGGGUAUUCACCUAAUACGUGAGUAUUUUGACGUUACCGACAGAAUAAGCACCGGCUAACUUCGUGCCAGCAGCCGCGGUAAUACGAAGGGUGCAAGCGUUAAUCGGAAUUACUGGGCGUAAAGCGCGCGUAGGUGGUUCGUUAAGUUGGAUGUGAAAGCCCCGGGCUCAACCUGGGAACUGCAUCCAAAACUGGCGAGCUAGAGUACGGUAGAGGGUGGUGGAAUUUCCUGUGUAGCGGUGAAAUGCGUAGAUAUAGGAAGGAACACCAGUGGCGAAGGCGACCACCUGGACUGAUACUGACACUGAGGUGCGAAAGCGUGGGGGAGCACACAGGAUUAGAUACCCUGGUAGUCCACGCCGUACACGAUGUCAACUAGCCCUUGGAAUCCUUGAGAUUUUAGUGGCGCAGCUAACGCAUUAAGUUGACCGCCCGCGGGAGUACGGCCGCAAUGUUAUACUCAUAUGAAGUUGACAGUGGCCCGCACAAGCGGUGGGAGCAUGUGUUUAAUACGAAGCAACGCCUAGACCUUAUCUCGCCGUGACAUGCUGAUACCAUUCCGGCACAUCGAUUGAUGCCUUCGGCAAGUCA
rnacentral:rRNA from 1 species